rnacentral:rRNA from 1 species
GACGAACGCUGGCGGCGUGCUUAACACAUGCAAGUCGAACGGAAAGGCCCUGCUUUUGUGGGGUGCUCGAGUGGCGAACGGGUGAGUAACACGUGAGUAACCUGCCCUUGACUUUGGGAUAACUUCAGGAAACUGGGGCUAAUACCGGAUAGGAGCUCCUGAUGCAUGGUGGGGGUUGGAAAGGUUCGGCGGUUGGGGAUGGACUCGCGGCUUAUCAGCUUGUUGGUGGGGUAGUGGCUUACCAAGGCUUUGACGGGUAGCCGGCCUGAGAGGGUGACCGGCCACAUUGGGACUGAGAGACGGACCAGACUCCUACGGGACGCAGUAGUGGGGAACAUUGCACAAUGGGCGGAAGCCUGAUGCAGCAACGCCGCGUGCGGGAUGACGGCCUUCGGGUGGUAAACCGCUUUCGCCGGUGACGAAGAGUGAGUGACGGUAAUGGGUAAAGAAGCACCGGCUAACUACGUG